rnacentral:lncRNA from 1 species
GAGGUUGGGGCGGGAGCAGACCCAGGCGGCACCGUGAUAGCUCAAGGUCUGCAAGGAGGCAGGAAGCGCAGGAGCACACACACGCACACACACACACACACACACACACAUACAUACACACACACACAUAUAUACACACACACACAUACACACACACAUACACACACACACACACACACACACACACACACACACAGCACACACACACACACACACACACACACACACACACACACACACACACACACACACACACACACACACACACACACACACACACAGCACACAC